GCCUGCCACGUUCUAGCUUAAUGAGCAAACACGAAGCGUGGGCGCCUCGUAACACAGGGCGGCGGCACCUCAGCGCGCCGCUUAAAAUUUGAGCCCCGAAAUUCCGCGAAGAAGACCCUCCCUUGAGCCGCGGGCGGACUUGGGGCGCGUGUCACUCGACCCUGGGCGCGCGCGCGGACCGAUCGCCACUUGCCAGAGGCUUCCUGACCAAGCUGCCUGCUGCCUCUGAACGUGCCACGUUACUCAACAUGGAUCCCCGAGUGCUUCUCUGCUUGGUCCUGUUUAUAGCAGGUUCCCUAGCUGCUGAAGCGGAUAAGGCGCAUUUCAGAUCACGUAAGCCUGAGAUGCGCAUUCAAUUGUGUCAUUUUUUAUUUUUUGUUCGUGGAGCGAGCAAUGCCUCUUUACAGCUUGUGCGUUCUUUGCUAAAUGUACAGCAGCAACAUCGAGUGCCGCCGAGCUUGCUCGGAAUAAUUUUCCUAGGUGGUGGUGC